UUUAGAAGUCCCAACUGUAGUAAAAUUGCAUAUCACUACCUUAAUGAUGGAGUACAUUGCAAAUUUUGAAUUUCUUAUAUUUAGUCAGGAAUUGCAUUGCAUAUGGUAAACAAGUGAACGUUUCAACUCUUGAAAGAUGAUAAUGUAUGUUCUUUCACUAUAGAUAAGUAUGUAGGCAUGAAUGACAGACUCCUACCAUCAGUAGUUUUCAAAAGAGUCUAUGUAUUAUGCCAUUUAGGAAGUGAUUUUUGGUGGUGAUAGUAAUUCUUGCUACAAGAAAAUCUGGGAACAUUUUAAGACAAAGAAAAAUGCUAAUUUCUUCUGUGUGCCUUGGGAUAAGGUUACAGGUGUUAUGUUAGCCUGUACUGUUAGAAAUCUUCCCUGUGAGGAAUAAUUUCUUCAAUAGACAUUUCAGCAAUUGCUUUUCUAUACACAUUCUAGCUAGGGCUUCAUUCAUCCUUUAUACUUUUUAAUUUUGUUUUUCCUCCUCCAUUUAGGUUUUCACACUACACUCAUCACCACAGACUCUUUCUUCCGAGUCCCUUUGACAGUUCCCAGGCUGCCUGCCAUCUGUGGAUGCAACUCUUUAUGAUCCACCCCUUCAGUUAAAGAGGCUGUGUUUGUAAGACUAACAUAUCCAUAAACAGGCCAAUAUACCUGUGGUUGAAAACUGUGUACAUUACAUUUCUCACUAUCAGUUGGCUACAGAGGUCUUGGGUGCAUGAGGCAGAAAGGGUCCACAGACUGCUGGAUCAAGCCUUUCAACUGAAUUCGGUGUCACCCUAAAAGCAGUACUCAUUGUUGGAGAUUAGUGUCGUUCUCCCUAAUACCCAAAUCUAACAGUGUGUGUCUGUUGGGAUUUCAGACACCAAAUGCUGAUCUGAGCUCUUCCCGGUAACUGAGAACCUGCAAACCACUUUUAUGUACAAGAUAAACUUGUCACCAUCAGUAAAGAUCUCUGUCACGUGUGAGUCUCUUUCCUCUCUGCUUUUUUAAUACCAUGAGAUCCUAGGGAACUCACAAUUUAAAAAGUAGCAUGUAAAAAGAAAAGUAAUUUGCUGAUUGCCUGGCUUCUUGCUGCUGCACUGCCAGAUAAAAUAAAGCACAAGAAGGUGAAAAUGAUCGUUUCAACAGUUUUAAGACUGUUAAGAGGAAAAAAAAACAAAACCAAAACCUCUGAUUCCCUGCCCUAAAUGGAGUCUCAUCUCUUUAUCAGAAAGGAUAAGAGCUUUAGAGUAAGAUGCUGCCAUUCACUCUUAGUCAGCAGUUUUGAAAAGUCAACUUCCUAUUCUUAACCUGGAUUUCAAAGACAUCUGGGUGCUUCAGCUGGUGAAAUGUGUUUGUCAAUCACAUGUCUACAGAUAUCUGGAUAGUUUAAUGAUCAUUUUUCUGGUUAGGGAUGCAGUGUGAGGCUGUGCAUCAGUGCUAAUGUUUAUAGUUGCACUUAAGUGCUGGCUAAGUAAGGAAAGAUGAUGCAUCUCAAAAGUCAUCAUGGGUUAUUUUGCCUUUUGAUAUCCUUGGAUUUAGUAACAAGUAAAUAGAAAUACUUUCUAGUAAAAGAGUCUUUUUAGUAAAAAAAACUUAGUAAAAACUGGAUGCCAUACAUAAACUAACAUCUGAAAUAAGUGAACGUUUUGUUUAUUUAACCACUAAAUUGUGUUAGAUUAAAAGCCAUUCUGAGGAAAAUUGCAUAGUUCUGUUCUGGAGACAUCAACUGAUAAAAAUCAAUGCUUCCCUUUGAAUCUUGUCUCAGUAGUUCAUAGCCUUCAUCCUUAGAAUUUCUGGUUUUAUUUUCCUUGAGCUUUCAGAGAAUCUCUGCAGGUUGGGAUGUCCUAAUUUUCCUUGACUAAUUUUCCUUCCUGAGCAAAGCCCACAGGAAAAUCCUCAGCAAAUGACAGUUCCAGCUCACUAAACACCAAACAGGUCACACUGGGUUGGUAUAGCAGGCUUCUUGUGACAUCUGGGAGUCUUUCAUCCUGGGUCUAGAAGGGUGCACCCCAUUCUGCCCAACUGUACCUAUUUCCUUAUCCCUUUGUUGUCAUCCCUUUAAUGCAAAUGACCUCCGUAGUUAAAACCUAGGAGAUUCUAAUUAGGUGUAGAAAAUGUUCCCUUAGUAAGACUUCUUUUCUUUGUGCCAUUUAUAAUGGAUGUGAUAAUUUGAUAGACGUUUUGUGUUGCUUUUUCUCCAAGAGAAAUUGUCAGUGACUUUGGGUUUAAUUUUUGUUCUUUCCAGUUUUUUCAUUGAGAAUAUGUAUCCUUAAAAAAAUAUCGAGGUUAUAAAUACAAGAAGUGUUCCAUACUGAAAGCAGGGAUCACUGUCCACCAACCAUAUGAACAGAGGCAGAGCAUCCUCGACAUGGUUUUUGUCUAAGUGGUGCACUUGUGUUCUCCUUUCUGGCUAUGUCAUGCAUAGCUAUUUUAUAUGCUACAAACUGACAUGAAGUUUUGGCACUGCCCCCUGAACCGUGACAUCUUGUCAGCUGGAAGCUGUUACAUGGGGAGAACACACAGUUCUUGCAGUAGAGGGUAUUUGCAAUGAUCCCUCCAUGAGAAUGAGCAGCCUGAAUUUCUCCAUGCCAGCUAGUGCCAUAAACAUGGAGAAGCCUAGGAGAUCCGUGAGGAGGGAGCUGGAGUAAGAAACCAGAAUGCAGCAAUUCUACAAGAGCUUGAGUUACAGUCCAUGCAUGACUGCUGCAAAAUGAAAACUUCUUAAAGUAAGUCUUACUUUUUUCACCUUCCCCAAAGAUGAAAUAUGCUUAAAAUUCAGCUCUGCACUAGAUUUGGGUAAGCUGUGUGUGCCUGUUGCUAAAGAGGAAUAUGGCUGAGAAGGGCAAUCUGAUCUUCCAUCAAUACAAAGGUUUGUACGCUGUGUAUUGCUUCAUAAAUAAGGUGAAUUUGGGCAAGCCAAAGUUCAGCUAGCAAAACGUUCAGAAGUUGGAAAACAAAAUUUCCACUGAUUAAGUUAAAAGGAUAACUCACGUAACGUGAGUGUUUUCAUACAGGCAAACAUGAAACACAAAUGGCAGCUGUCUUGUGCAGUGCCAUUAUGAUAAGACACACGCAUUAUGGGAAGCUUUCAUUAUUCUCUAGCCAAACAUUAUAAAAAGCUAGGAAAAUAUAUUGUAACCUAAUGGGAAUGUAUUUCUUAAGUGCUUAAGAAAUUUAUCCUUGCCUUUAUAUAUAACAUGAAUGCAGUGCUUUUUAGAACAACAUACAUUUUGUUUGCAAUUUCAGAUAAUAAUGGUAAGGACCCUUUUUUUUCUCACUUGGAAUUUUAAUAUUACUUCUCCUAGCUAGAGCAAAAGUUCUUUGAGUGACUUAAUUUUUCCAUUUUCAUGCCUUAGUUCAGGAAGACACUAUAAGUAUUUCUCAAUUUUCCAGGAACAUAAUUAUUACUGAAGUCACGGAAACUUCACUGCAGUGGUUUCACAGUUGAGAAACUAGUAGCCACACUCCCUGACUUUACUUGUGAUUAAUGUACAAAUGUACAUUACAUCUGGGAGUCUUCUCUUUUUUAAUUAGUAAAAUGUUCAUACAGGAGGAGUAAACAAGAAACCUACAGAGAAUGCGAACAGCUUGUAUUUCCAGUAGUGUGAAGCUAUGUAUAAAUAGGACAUGAUGCAUCCACUUCCCCAAUGAAACAAAUAUUUGUAAUUGUCAAGAUGGUUGAUGUUGAAAUAAUAAUCAGUUCUUCUUCGGUUCAGUUCCAGGGAAAAGCCAUAAUUACAUACGACAAAUACGCUGGAAUUCACCCUACUGUCUAUAUAAAAUUCCAAAAGUCAUCUCAGCAGGAGAGGCACAUACUAAAGAGUUUAUUUCGGUUUGAAAAGGAAGACAUGGUUCUUUCAGUGUUCACUAUGCAUUUGGCAGUAAGUGACGUGACUUCUGCUGUGGCAUUUUUAGAUAUUUACAUAAUGAUCUGAAGUGCGGUUGAGUGAAAAGAAAGGUAGCCACCCUAAUCUGCUUGCUAAACAGUUCCACCAAGCUUUUCACUGCAGGGUGGUUUUUGUAAGACAUACUAAGUGACAGUUACAUCUCACGAUUUCAUAUCAGAAUACGUAUGCUUGUAUGAAACUUGUUUAUAUUGCAUGUUUGUGCUCUUUCAUUCCAUCAAAUCUUACAUAUUCUGCGUGCCUCCUGAUUUGAAAUUUCCAGCAGACUGCUCAUUUUCAACUCAGAACAGAAACGAGUGCUGGCUGUUCAUGGCCCAGCACUAUCUUUACAUAAAGUGCUUCAUCCACAAAUGAAACGCCGGCUUGGCAGAUCAGAUAAAAAAAAGCAGAGUACAUCCUGCACCCAGAUCUGUUCUGUGGCUAGAAACAGGCAGGUGAAAAACAGAAUUCUGC